rnacentral:rRNA from 1 species
UGAGUAACACGUAUCCAACCUGCCGUCUACUCUUGACAGCCUUCUGAAGGAAGAUUAAUCCAGGAUGGCAUCAUGAGUUCACAUGUCCGCAUGAUUAAAGGUAUUUUCCGGUAGACGAUGGGGAUGCGUUCCAUUAGAUAGUAGGCGGGGUAACGGCCCACCUAGUCAACGAUGGAUAGGGGUUCUGAGAGGAAGGUCCCCCACAUUGGAACUGAGACACGGUCCAA